ACCUCCCAUCCGUGUCUAUCUGUACCCUGUUGCUUCGGCGUGGCCACGGCCCGCCGAAGACUAACAUUUGAACACUGUCUGAAGUUUGCAGUCUGAGUUUUUAGUUAAACAAUAAUUAAAACUUUCAACAACGGAUCUCUUGGUUCCGGCAUCGAUGAAGAACGCAGCGAAAUGCGAUAAUUAAUGUGAAUUGCAGAAUUCAGUGAAUCAUCGAGUCUUUGAACGCACAUUGCGCCCCCUGGUAUUCCGGGGGGCAUGCCUGUCCGAGCGUCAUUGCUGCCCUCAAGCACGGCUUGUGUGUUGGGCUUCCGUCCCUGGUAACGGGGACGGGCCCAAAAGGCAGUGGCGGCACCAUGUCUGGUCCUCGAGCGUAUGGGGCUUUGUCACCCGCUCCCGUAGGUCCAGCUGGCAGCUAGCCUCGCAACCAAUCUUUUUAACCAGGUUGACCUCGGAUCAGGUAGGGAUACCCGCUGAACUUAAGCAUAUCAAUAAGCGGAGGAAAAGAAACCAACAGGGAUUGCCUCAGUAACGGCGAGUGAAGCGGCAAGAGCUCAAAUUUGAAAUCUGGCCCCUUCGGGGUCCGAGUUGUAAUUUGUAGAGGAUGCUUCGGGUGCGGCCCCCGUCUAAGUGCUCUGGAACGGGCCAUCGGAGAGGGUGAGAAUCCCGUCUGGGACGGGGUGUCCGCGUCCAUGUGAAGCUCCUUCGACGAGUCGAGUUGUUUGGGAAUGCAGCUCUAAAUGGGUGGUAAAUUUCAUCUAAAGCUAAAUACUGG
rnacentral:rRNA from 1 species